UUCUUCUUCAGACUCUCUAAUUUCUCCAUUUUGUUUCUCUUUUCUUCUCUCUUCUCCCUUCUCUUUCCUCUUUUCUCUUCUUUCCCUUCUCUCUAAACCUCCUCCACAACUAGACUCUAACCACCACAAAAACCCUAGAAUCACCCUUAGGUACGCCGUCCCAACCACCACCUUCAAUCAUGUUCUUCAUGAACAUGAAACAUAAACUGAUAUUAUGAAUGCCACCCUCAAAACCACAGUGAGCCACCUUGAACCACCAUCUCCUACCCAAAACACCUUCCAUUUUCAUCUUCAUCCUCUGUCCCAAACCCUAAUUUAACCCAUAAACCAAUCAAACUCAAACCAAAUCCUUCAAAACAAACACUAAUCCAUAGAUCGUGACCUCACCAACACCAAUCAGGCCUUCAAACAUCAAAUCAAACCAAACAAAACCAAACCCUAAAACGCCUAUAUUCUUACAAAUAAAAAUCUUAACCAUUCUAAAAAAACCUAAAUCAAACCUCAAACAUGGAUUAAAGAAAAACUACGCCGACUCAUUAUCAAAUACAAAAACAACACACCUUUAGAUAUGAGUAAGAGUUCAAGAAAAAGAGAACCUACCGGGAGUGCCAUGUGUUCUUCCCAAAGGUAAACCCUCUCUCUUAUUUUUUCUUUUACUUGUUUAUUUUCAUCUUUCUUUAUUUGCUUUAUUUUUGACCUCUUCUCAUUUUUCUUUGUUGCGAGGUGUUGCUGUGUGGAGAAAAGCUUCAACGAAGGUUUUUAGAAUUAGGGUGAGGUUUGUCUUCAGCGUGAAGGCAAACCUUUAGGCUAGGGUUUGUGAAUUUUUGAUUGUGUCUCUGUAUAUUUUUAUUCCCUAUCCCUUUCAGUGUAAAUCUCUAGGGUUUUUUAUAGGGUUAGAAAUAGGUUAAACAAUUAUGUGGAUUGUUUGUUUUAGGAAUUUUUUCAUUGAGUUUGAUAUGAUUUGAUUCAGAUUCUUAGCUUAGGGCUCAAGUUUAUGUAUAUUAGAAAGACUCAAAUGUAACUACAAUAUGAUGUUAAUGAAAAUUCAGUUUUAUGUGACUUGAUCCAUUUUGGAUGUUUUGGAUGCA
rnacentral:lncRNA from 1 species